rnacentral:rRNA from 1 species
UCCAGAGGGGGCAAGCGUUGUUCGGAAUUACUGGGCGUAAAGGGCGCGUAGGCGGCCUUCUAAGUCGAACGUGAAAUCCCCGGGCUCAACCCGGGAACUGCGUCCGAUACUGGAAGGCUUGAAUCCGGGAGAGGGAUGCGGAAUUCCAGGUGUAGCGGUGAAAUGCGUAGAUAUCUGGAGGAACACCGGUGGCGAAGGCGGCAGCCUGGACCGGCAUUGACGCUGAGGCGCGAAAGCCAGGGGAGCAAACGGG